UGAUGAGCACAAAGGGAAAGAUGAGAGGCACCCUGUAUAUGUUCUCUAGGCCUUUUAGGAAACAUGGUGUUGUUCCUUUGACCACAUACAUGUGAAUCUACUAGAAGGGUGAUAUCGUAGACAUCAAGGGAAUGGGCAUUGUUCAAAAACGAAUGCCCCAUAAGUGCUACCACAGCAAAACCGGAAGAGUCUACAAUGCCACCCGAAGAAAAAGGAAGCCAAAGAGAAGGGCACCUGAGUGUAGCUGAAGCGCCAGCCUGUGCCACCCAGAAAAGCACACUUUGUGAGGACUAACAGAAAAGAUCCUGAGCUGUUGGAGCCCAUUCCAUACGAAUUCAUA
rnacentral:lncRNA from 1 species